rnacentral:rRNA from 1 species
GAGUGGCGAACGGGUGAGUAACGCGUGGGUAAUUUGCCCUAAAGUUGGGGAUAGCGAGUCGAAAGGCUCGAUAAUACCGAAUAUGGUCAUCUUCCGCAUGGAAGACUAUCUAAAGAUGGGGAUCCGCAAGGACCUGUCGCUUUAGGAUGAGCCCGCGUCCCAUCAGCUUGUUGGUAAGGUAACGGCUUACCAAGGCUUACGGGUAGCUGGUCUGAGAGGAUGGUCAGCCACACUGGGACUGAGACACUGCCCAGACUCCUACGGGAGGCUGCAGUCGAGAAUCAUUGUCAAUGCGCGAAAGCGCGAACAUGCGACGCCGCGUGCAGGAUGACGGCCUUCGGGUUGUAAACUGCUGUCUUGAGGGAACAAUAGCACGGGGGUGAAUAGCCCGAUGUGUGUGAUGGUACCUCAGGAGGAAGCCACGGCUAACUCUGUGCCAGCAGCCGCGGUAAUACAGAGGUGGCAAGCGUUGUUCGGAUUUACUGGGCGUAAAGGGUGCGUAGGCGGCUUUGUAUGUCGGAUGUGAAAUCUCACCGUCCAUCGGUGAAACUGCAUUCGAAACUGCAGAGCUAGAGUACAGGAGGGGAGAGCGGAAUUCUCGGUGUAGCGGUGAAAUGCGUAGAUAUCGAGAGGAACACCGGUGGCGAAGGCGGCUCUCUGGACUGAUACUGACGCUGAGGCACGAAAGCCGGGGGAGCAAACAGGAUUAGAUACCCUGGUAGUCCCGGCCCUAAACGGUGUGCACUUGGUGUAGGUGGCGUUACACCCAUCUGUGCCGGAGCUAACGCAUUAAGUGCACCGCCUGGGGAGUACGGUCGCAAGGCUAAACUCAAAGGAAUUGACGGGGGCCCGCACAAGCGGUGGAGCAUGUGGCUUAAUUCGAUGCAACGCGAAGAACCUUACCUGGGCUUGACAUGUAACUGCAUGCCUCCCGAAAGGGAGGAGGCCUUCGAGGGCGUUACACAGGUGCUGCAUGGCUGUCGUCAGCUCGUGCCGUGAGGUGUUGGGUUAAGUCCCGCAACGAGCGCAACCCUUGUAAUUAGUUGCCACUUGGUCAGAAAUGGCCGAAGCACUCUAGUUAGACUGCCGGUGACAAGCCGGAGGAAGGUGGGGAUGACGUCAAGUCAGUAUGGCCCUUAUGCCCAGGGCUGCACACGUGCUACAAUGAAUGGUACAGAAGGAUGCAAGACCGCGAGGUGGAGCUAAUCCCCAAAGCCAUUCACAGUUCGGAUUGGAGUCUGCAACUCGACUCCAUGAAGCCGGAAUCGCUAGUAAAGGCGUAUCAGCUACGACGCCUUGAAUACGUUCCCGGGCCUUGUACACACCGCCCGUCACAUCAUGAAAGUCGACUGCACCCGAAGUCACCGGGCCAA